rnacentral:rRNA from 2 species
CGACUCUCGGCAACGGAUAUCUCGGCUCUCGCAUCGAUGAAGAACGUAGCGAAAUGCGAUACUUGGUGUGAAUUGCAGAAUCCCGCGAAUCAUCGAGUCUUUGAACGCAAGUUGCGCCCAAGGCCUUUAGGCCGAGGGCACGUCUGCCUGGGCGUCACGC